UACGUAGGGUGCGAGCGUUGUCCGGAUUUAUUGGGCGUAAAGAGCUUGUAGGUGGCUCGUUGCGUCGGGAGUGAAAACCCGCGGCUCAACCGCGGGCCUGCUUCCGAUACGGGCGAGCUAGAGUUCGGCAGGGGAGACUGGAAUUCCUGGUGUAGCGGUGGAAUGCGCAGAUAUCAGGAGGAACACCGGUGGCGAAGGCGGGUCUCUGGGCCGAUACUGACACUGAGAAGCGAAAGCGUGGGGAGCGAACAGG
rnacentral:rRNA from 1 species